rnacentral:rRNA from 1 species
GACGAACGCUGGCGGCGUGCUUAACACAUGCAAGUCGAACGGAAAGGCCCUGCUUUUGUGGGGUGCUCGAGUGGCGAACGGGUGAGUAACACGUGAGUAACCUGCCCUUGACUUUGGGAUAACUUCAGGAAACUGGGGCUAAUACCGGAUAGGAGCUCCUGCUGCAUGGUGGGGGUUGGAAAGUUUCGGCGGGUGGGGAUGGACUGGCGGCUUAUCAGCUUGUUGGUGGGGUAGUGGCUUACCAAGGCUUUGACGGGUAGCCGGCCUGGGAGGGUGACCGGCCACAUUGGGACUGAGAUACGGCCCAGACUCCUACGGGAGGCAGCAGUGGGGAAUAUUGCACAAUGGGCGGAAGCCUGAUGCAGCAACGCCGCGUGCGGGAUGACGGCCUUCGGGUUGUAAACCGCUUUCGCCUGUGACGAAGCGUGAGUGACGGUAAUGGGUAAAGAAGCACCGGCUAACUACGUG